rnacentral:lncRNA from 1 species
AAUGAAACAUCAGCCGUCCCUGGUCUGGUUGAUCUCCUUGAAGUUCAAAUGCAAAGGAGGCAGCCGAUUCGCUAGCUUAGGUCCCUUGCCCAUCCCUCGGCAACAACUGCCUGGACUGUUCUCAGUGGGUAGGAUGGAAUUUCUCAAAAGGAAAUGGAGGGCUGUUGUUAGGAAAGAGGAGGGGAUGCUGAGCCACCAAAACUCAGCAAGUACCUUCUGAGUUCUCUGCAUCUGUUUCCUUGAUGGCAGAAGGAAGUUAACUGGUUCCAUCAGGGCAGGAUAACUGCUCUAACAAGCAUCAUCAACCCUAGUGGCUAAACACAGUAGAAGUUUAUUUUUUGCUCAUGAAACAUUCCAGCACGGAUAUUCCUGGUUGGGUGUGCGGGGAGUUGGGGGGGGGGGCUGUCUUGUGGCCCUGCCAUCCCCGAAGGCCUCUGAGUCCUCCCCUUCCAGCCAUGGGGUAGGGAAGGUGCAGAGAAUCAUAUAGGAGGUGUUCAGGGACCAGGCCUGGAGGUGGCGUCCAUCCCUUCCAUGCAUUAGCUACAACAUGGUCUGAUCACAUCCGCUUGCAGGUGAGACCGAGAAAUGGAGUCUGUGUGCCCAGGAGGAAGGAGGAGUGGACUUUGGUGAGCUUAAUGUGAGAAUUUGCUUUUGUAAAUAAAGUUUUAUUGUACACGGCCCGCCCGUUUGUGAACACACCAUAUAAGGCUGCUUUCACGCUGCAGCAGCAGAGCGGUAGCAACAGCAACUGUGCGACCUGCAGAACCUAAAAUACUUACUCUCUGGCCCUUUACAGAACAGGUUUGUGGACCCCCAGCAUAGAGCAGUCUCUGCCAAAAGCGUAAUGGUUGGAAGUUCUCUUGUGGCACAACAGGUUAAGGAUCCAGUGGUGCCACAGCUGUGGCACAGGCUGCAACUCUGGUGUGGGGUACCUGGCCCAGAAACUUCCACAUGCCGUGGGUGUGGCCGAAAAAACAAAAGAAACAGUCAGAAGCAGGAUGGUCUUUAGUUUUCAGUGUCAAAUAAGAUGGGAGACAGAACAACUGUUCGUAUCAUGCCUAUGACACCGUAGCACAAGUCAAUAACCCUAAGUUGUGAGCAGUGUAGACCUAUUCACCUAUUAGUACCUAUUCCUAGACACUGGCCUGAUGUCCAGGCGACAGUCACUAAAGGCGCCAGUUAUGGUACACCCUUCUGUAUAGGGUUUAUGUAUUUCCAGGUUUCUUCCUAAAAGUUCCAGAUCUCAUUCCUUCGGUAGUCCCGAGUGCCCACCACGAGCCUGACUCUGCGAGAAGCUCAAGGACUCUUCACACCCAAAACAAGGUCAGAGAAUCUGGGCAGGCUUUACCCUGGGAACCUCCACAUGCCCUGGGUGCGGCCCUAGAAA